rnacentral:rRNA from 1 species
CUACGGGGCGCUGCAGUGGGGAAUAUUGCACAAUGGAGGAAACUCUGAUGCAGCAACGCCGCGUGGAGGAUGACACUUUUCGGAGCGUAAACUCCUUUUAUAUAGGAAGAAGAUGACGGUACUAUAUGAAUAAGCGCCGGCUAACUCCGUGCCAGCAGCCGCGGUAAUACGGAGGGCGCAAGCGUUACUCGGAAUCACUGGGCGUAAAGAGCGUGUAGGCGGAUUAAAAAGUCAGAAGUGAAAUCCUAUAGCUUAACUAUGGAACUGCUUCUGAAACUCUUAAUCUAUAAUAUGGGAGAGGUAGAUGGAAUUUCUGGUGUAGGGGUAAAAUCCGUAGAGAUCAGAAGGAAUACCGAUUGCGAAGGCGAUCUACUAGAACAUUAUUGACGCUGAGACGCGAAAGCGUGGGGAGCAAACAGGAUUAGAUACCCUAGUAGUC